AAUAAUUCUUUAAAAAUAAACUGUGACUCUGAAAAGGUGUUGACCCAAAAGUGGACACCGAGACAUUUGUUUCAAUUUAGCUUUUCUAUAUUUUUAUGUGUAUGGGUGUUUUUGCUUGAAUGUCUGUGAACCUUGCAUGAGCAUGUCAGAUGUCUGCAGAGGUCAGAUCCCCUGAAAAUGGAAUUACAGGUGGUUGUGAUAUGCUAUGUGGGUGCUGGGGAUCGAACUCAAGUCCUCUUGAUGGCUUUUAACUGCUGAGCCAUCUCUCAAACACCAUGGCAAGUUUUUAAUAAACCCUGUUUCUGGUAAAAAGAAGACAAAGUAAUACUAGUUUAUCCCUGAUGUUGCAAACAAUUUUCUUUUCAUUCCAAAUUUGGUGGCCUAAAAUGACCCCUCAUUUGUAAAGAAAUUCACAAUGGUCAUUUCUCAUCUGAGGUCCCCUCACAAACCCUUCAUCUGAAGGCUUGACGGUUACUACAUGGCCCAUGGCAGCCUUACUUGUGCCUGAUACAGCUGGGCUAUCGUUCAGGGCUCCAGCCACCCCCUGUGUGGAACUUCCAGUCUGGUAACUUACAUGUCCUGAGUAGCAUAGAAAGAGCAGUGCCCAACACAGGCACUGCUAGGCUAAUGGCACUGGUUAUGUGCUGCGUGCUAAAGGUUUGGUCCCUGGAAUGAAGAGAGAGUUAAGGGGUGUUCCUUAGGUCACUGACUGGGAUCAAGCUCUUGAUCAGUAGGACUCCAGGACUCUGGUGUGACUGUCUGCCCCCACCCACAAAGUAAGCAGCCUGCUCACAACCCAGCACCCUACAGGCCUAAAAGCAGGUCCACCCAAGCAUGAGCUGAAAAUCUUUAGAGAGCCAUGGUCCAAAACAAACCUUUUCUCUUUAUAAGUUAAUUCUCUCAGGUAUUUUACUAUAGCGAUAGGAAGGUAACGUGGCUGGUGCCAAGCCUCCGCUGUGUUCUGAAGUCCAUCUGGCUGAAACAAUUCUCACGGAUGAACCCUGAAGCCACUGGGUAACAGCAGUGUAUACCAGGAUGUGUGAACGUGGACUUACUGUGGGCUGUUCGGGUAACAAUCUACCAUAAGGGCAUAUGGUCUGUGACAGUUAAUCACGACUGUCAGCUUGACUGGACUCAGAACCACCUGAAGGACAAACCUCUGGGUAUAUCUGUGAGGGCAUCCUUAGAGAGGUUUAACUGGGGCGGGAAGAACCACCCCGAACAUGGGAGGCCCCUACUGAGUAAAAGGAGAAAGCCUGAGAGGCAGCAGCCACUGCCCUCUGCUUCCUGACUGGACACAGGACAAGCACCUCAUACUCUUCCAACGUUGCCUUUCCUGCCAUGAUAGACAGUGUCCUUCAUGAGCCAAAAUAAACCCUCCCGUGUCGCUUUUGUCAGGUGUUUUGUUACAACAGCCUUAGAGCCAGCUGCUGCAUCGCCAGAAACCCAUUUUGAAAUGGAAUAAACGUAGCUUUGUGGAAUCACCUGGGUGCCUCCUCACAAACCACUGUGGUCUCCUUUGCUGGCGACCCUCUCACUCGCCGCCUGGCCCACAGGCUGGCACUGGCAAAUGGCUCUCAGCGAUGGCCUCAUUCUAUCAUCUGAGCCGGAGGUGGCUGCAACUCUUACCAGCACAGCAUUAUGGAAGGCCACCUCCUCACUGGUGUGGAUGGUUCGAGUCUGCAUGCCUUCACCCAGUUGACUAAGGGCUUCUACCGCAGAGUGGGUCUGACUUUGGAAAGAGGAGUGCUAUCCAGCCCAUUUAAAGGAAGGUGGUGCUGAAUCAACUCGGUGUGACUGACAGACUCCCCAAAUGCAGAAGGUAUCUACCCCUAAUCCUUAAGCUGUGCCCUUCCUGGCAUCGCCUGUUUUUCUUGAGCUAGGCAGUCAACCUCCCAGAACAAAGCUCUUACAUUCCGGCUUCAUGGCCAAGAAGCAAAAGGGGAAGAGGCCAGGGUCCUACAGUCUCCGACAGUGACCCGAAGACCUGCCUUAGCGGCUUCACCUCCUCGUGUCCCACUCUGGAGACAAGGUCAGUAUGUGAGGUCACAGGCUAUCAGUUUGGGCCAGGCCAACCUGCCCUGGCUUUCUGAAUACUUAAGAGUUCUCCACUCUGUCUCCACUCCCAGCUCCAUGGACUCGCAGGCUCUAUGGGCAGCACUGUUCAGCCUGGGGCCCGACCAAGGAUCCCUGGCUCCCUGCCUCCCUGCUCCAGAGCUAAUGAGGAGCAGGCCAGGAAUCACAAAUAAAGUCUCCACAAAUCCCUAGCACAAAGAGCCUGAGGGCCCAGGCAGGGAACUUAACUUCUAUUCAGUGGACCACUGAGGCUCCCUGCCUGACAGGUGUGGCCUAGACCUUGGGAUCCCCUACCAUCUGAGGUGGGGUCUUCUACAAACCAGAAGGAUCCUGUUUAUAAAGCUUCCGGUGAUGGAAUUCUCCGAGGCUGUUAAUACUCUGUGCAUUGAUGUGAUCGUGGUUACGUAACUGUAUUAUCUUUGUCAAAAUCCACGGAACGGAAUACCUAGAAAGCUUUCUCCUCACGUGACUUGCACCUCAAUAAACUGAAGUUUCAAGGAACCACCCCAGCAGGGAACCUCACCUGCUUAACCCAGCACCAUGCCCGUCUGCUAGCGGUUCCCAGUGUGCUUCAAAUUAGUGAUGAGGAGACUGAACAUACACAAUUGUGUGCAGGGCAAGUUCUUGAUGUCCUCGACUUCCUCUGCUCUCACAACCAACCUGGGGAGUGUCAGAACUGAUUUCCAGGUGACAUCACAAGGUUCAGAGGGGUGGAGUAACUCGCUUGCACCAAGGACGGGUGACCAGUAAGUGUGGGAGCCAGAACUCUUCCAGGACUUCUUACUAUCAUGCCUGCCUUGCCCCACCCACGAAUGCCGCAGUAGCUGCUGGAUCAUGUUAAGUACUUCUUAGACUCAAGCGAGGCCCAGAGACACCCACUGAUGUGCCUUAGCCAGUAACAAGCAACACUGAGACUCGAAACAAACACUGAUUCCAAAACUCCCUCUGUUUUAUUGUUCACAAAAACUGGGGAUCCCUCCCACCCCUUCCACCUUAUCCUCAAGGAUGGCAUGAUUCUAGAGGACCCCGAUUUGCAACUGCCCGUCCAGUUGCCCUAGCCAAGACUACCAGAGGCAAAGCCCGAGGAAGAAAUAGGUCUCCUUGUGCCUUAGUAUCUUCAAAACGUCUUGGUCGGUUUGAGACAGGAAGACCCACGGCUGUAGAGGGGAGCCUUUCCCAGUGCAUCCAUGCAGCGCUUGGGGCGUGCCUGGCUUUCCUGGCCGGGGUAAGCAUGACUCCCUCCAACUCCUGACUUCUGCCAGCAUUUUCUGAGGAAUAAGCAGGAGUUCAAGCAAACUGUGUGCACCUGGGUGUGACCAGACUCCUUGGGACAGCCUUGUUCCCAGGAUCUGCUCCAGGGUCCUGCUGUGUGGGCCUUUGUCAGCUUGGCCAAGGAUACAUCCUCAACAGCCCCCCACGGAGGGUCCUCGAGCCAGUCGCUGACUUUAAACAGACUGGUGUUAUGCAGCAGAUGACAUAUUUGGCAUCCUUUGGCGAGCAUCGUGUCCCUUCUGCUGAACUCCAACUGCUAGAUGGGGAGACCACAGCUGGACCUGAUGAUGUCUGUUGUCCCCUUGAAUGGGUCCACUGGCCAGUUCCAUGUACACAGACCAAGGUGCAGCAUGUGUUGGAAAACUCUGCCGUGGGUUCACCCUGUGUCCUCACUGGAAGGACCCAGUGGUCACUCACCCUGUGCAGCGUGAAAUACUUGGAGGAAGGAAAAUAGUUGUCUCCAAGAAAGAAUGGAAGAAGAUGACCGCACGAUCAUCCUGUGUACGUACGCAAGUCUCGGCUCCGUCCUCUGUCCUGGUAUCAGAGCUAGAACCAUGUGGGCGAAACCUCUCGCCAUCAAAAGAUGCACCCACUGACUACCUCUGGCAGAUGACUUUACCCUCCAGCCAAGGUGUGACUGUUCCAGGGUGUCUGCAUCACCUCUGGAAAUCUGGACUUGGGGAGACAGACUGGACGGAUGGCAGACAGAACAAUGGACAGCAAUCCUUUGAGUAACCAAAUACCGUCACAUUGGUUCUUUGGUAGCCACAAUGGCCAGGCGGGUAUAGACUACACACAGUGGGCCUGCAGGGACUACACACAGUGGGCCUGCAGGGAGAAAGGUCAGGUGUCAAGCCGGGCAGUGGAGGUAGAGAAAGAACUGUCAGGCUCCUCAGACCGACAGACCCGUCCUCACACAGGCCUGGCACUGGCCACCAUUCCAGGAGCUUUACCUGAAAGUCACCUCUCUUGCUUCCUCAAGGGAAAGAGUCUUUUCUCUAAUGCACUAGUGAACGGCCUUUUACCAAAGACAUUCUGCCAACCAGGUGAAAAGAUGGGUGGCCAAUGCAGCCAAGUGAGAGGCAACACCCAGGGCUUUGUGGUUUCACACUUCAUUCCUCAGAAUCAAGCCUUUUCUUUGGACACUGAAAUGUAAACUUUGCAGGGAGAGACAAGCCAUUAAUUUAUCAGUCACAAUGAAGUUUAGAUCCUGUGUCAUCCACAGGGUGUUCGAGGCCCCCUGUGCCUCCAGAAGGUCUGGAGAGGUGGUCAGCAGAAUGGGAUCCUAUCCCAGCACUUCGGGGUCUUAUCUUAGGAUAAGUCCUAAGUGGUCUGUUCCCAUCCUGAGCUCAGAAUCUGCCCACCUGGAAAAAUUUGAGGAUAGACCCAACCCAGAGGUGGGAUAAUCUGGGUCUCUGGCAUUCAUAACAAGCACUGCUUUCUGACAGUCACAUCCAUCUUCACUGCAAACUACCAGGACUCCUUACAUUUGCAACAUUUCCAAGCCACCCCACAGAGAGAAGGAAAAGAAAGGAAGUGGAAAGCCAGUGGAAAACAGCCUUCAGAGCAGUGAAACAGAGAGAGGCGAGCAGGAGGCCACAGGGUCAGAUCGCAGCUCAGACGCCCACACCGGGCAUCCUGGAGAGAACCAAGUGUCUCGGCACAAGAACCACACAGCUCUUCCUUCUUCGUCACAGAGAAGCCAGCAAGACCCCGGAGAAUAGAGUGCAAAAACUAGAAGACCACAAGGAUGUACUUUUUUUUUCCUGUUCCUAGGCAGUAAAGGGAGCUGGCAAAGGCCACAGUCCUAAUAGAUCCUAGAGCAAGACAGGGAGCAGGGGAGCCCCAUCCAUAGAACAUACACAACCUGUUAGAGGAGGGAGGCUAAGCAGCUGCCAUCUUAAAAGGUGAGGCAGUGACCUGACACCACCACCCUCCUGGAGCUUCUGCUUCAGCUAUGAAAAUCAGAACCCUUCAGUCAGAACUACCCAAUCUGUCCUGUCUGGAAACUCCUGGGAAGCAGUCCCCAGAGUGCAUAUACACAGGAAUGAAGGCAAGAAUGAACACAGGCAGGAGGCUCCGCCCUGUUAGAGAAAAUGCUUUUAAAUAGACCUCAAUCCCCAUGAGAUUACAAACAUUUCUAAUAUGAUAUUAUAUAUUUUCCUAGAAGCCUUCACAUUCUGCAAAACCAUUCUCUAAAGAAAUUCACAGGAUUCUCGAGGGAAGCUGAGACACUUUGCUCAACACCUUUGGAACCUUGUUACCAGAAUCUUCCCCCGAACACAGCCAUUCCUAUUAUGCUGGGAAGAACUAGUGUGGUUAAAUUAGCUUUCCCGGCUCCCUUCAGAGAUGGAGAAACUCGGGCUCUUGGUGAGUAGAUGAGCAUUUUCAUUCUUGUUCUUGUUAAACACCCACCCAGUUUAACUGAUUCUGGGGGAAGACAUUGUCUUAAGCUCUGUGCCAAAUGGUGACCUACCAGACUCCAAGGGAUAGUUUGUUACAUGGACUGUCAGUAGAUUGGUAACAAAAACACAAAAAGGAUGCAGAAAGGGACCUGUUGGGAGGAAAGAGGCAGGAGGGAGAAAAAAGAAGGCAGCGGUGAGAGUAACCAUAUGUGAAGUAGCCAGACAACAAAUUUAACCAACACAAAACGAUUAUUUAAGCCUGCCCCUAUUUUCUCACAGGGACAAUGUCUUCAUGGCUCCUUCAGAGCCUUCCUGACUUCUGUUUGAGUGACAAUGGAAGCUGCUAAAGCAGCCAGAACUUGCACCAAGUCAGGUGCAUCAUAAAACUUUCAGCUUUCUCUUUUAGUUUCUCAUCUGCUUCUCUUUACUCAUAAGGAAGUUUAUCCUGACCUAUCAAAACACAGGCGCAAUGGGGAAACCACAGAUGAGCCAGCAUGACUCUCCUGAACACUAACAGCGUCCUCUGUCCAUCACGGAGACACGGGCUGCCGCAGUGGACACUCCCAAGCCUCAGACUGCUGCACUGCACUCCAAACUUGCCAAGGGAGGGGCUCUGGCACGCAGACUCUUGCGACAUACAAGCAUUUUAAAGGUUGGACUUUCAACAUUUCAGUCCAGCUGACUCUGUUAGAGGAAAAGCUCACACACUCUUUGCAAAAUCUUCCUUUAAAGUAGCCCUCUCCUGUGCCCCCUUGUAUCUUGUCUGGUCUAGCCUUGGAACUUGCACUGUGCUUCAGAAACACAGCAGGUGAUUUUCUGCUCCUAAGGAAGGCCCAGGGAAGCUUGUAGCCUUCUUUUUGUUCUCUCACUGCUACAAGACCAUCCCAUCAUAAGCCCGAGCUGGCCUUCUGGAAGAGAAGAGCCUGGCUCAGAGCCAGCACUGCCCCCGCCCUCUCUCACUGUCCAGUGUAGAGCAGCCAUGAAUGAGCACAGGCAAGGCACCUGCCCACAACGUGGCCAGCAAAACAAAUGCAGUUGCUUUAACUCAUUAGAGAUUGCCUGAGAUAAUACAAUGAGGCAUCUUUGUAGGUGUAUCUCCUUGAUACUAACAGGGAGUCAAGAAAUCUUUAUUUAGAUCUUUAUUUAACAUGGGGCUCAGAAAGGAGGAUGACCCACCCUUGAAGAUGGCACUGUCUCUGAGGAACCUACCAAGAUUGAGUCAAACCAAAGGUAACACACUAAGAAGGAACUUUUUCCAACAAACGGGAGACCAAAGACUUUCUAGCUAACAAUCCCCAAUCUGUGGAGACCGCUACCUCUCUGGCUAAGGCAGACACAGUGAAGACCCAGCCAUUCAGUGUAUCAAGUUCUAAUUCCCAGAGCCUGUGGAUAUAUGGCUUCCUGUGUCCAAAGGAAUUCUUCGGGAGAGUAAGUUAAGGACCUUAAGAUAAGGAAAUGGGGUUUGAUGAUCCAGGGGUACCCCUAAGAGUUGCUCAUGCUAUUAUCUUUGGGGGUGGGGAGGGGAGGGCUGGGGAGAGUGGAGAUGCCACAAUAAAGGGAACAAUGGACUCUGAUGAUGGGAGACAUAGUCUUGAGUCAAGGGAUGCCAGUGGCUUCCAGAAGAGUGAAAAUAUAGGACACUGGUGGACACUCCAAGGGGGACAUGGCUUGGGUAAUACCUCUCAGUGAGACCCAUCUUAGGACUCACGCCUACCAUUCAGGAAUCUAAGAUAACAAAUUUGAGCUGCUGGGCUAUGAUACAGCUCAGCUGGUAGAGUUUUGCCUCACACGCAUGAGGGCCUGGGUUCAGUGUCUGGCGCCACAUAAACCAGGUGUGCAGGCACAUGCUAGCAAUCUCAGCGUUGUAAGGGGAAGGCAAGAGGAUCAAGAGCUAAGACCAAUCUGAACUACAUAGUGAGUCUGGGGCCAGCCUGGGCUGUAGAAGACGCUGUCUCAAAAGCAACAAGAAAUAAUAAAAUUGGUCCGUUUCAGAUUAUUGCAUUUGUAAUCCUUUUCCUGAUACCUUGGUAUCUCCUGCCUAUGAGAACCUAUCUUUGGAGGUUCAUUCGUAAUAACACUAGCAGUUGGUCAAAUCUGUGCCUAUUUCAUGGUCAGACUUGCUCUGUAUGCUUUCCUUGAGUGAACUCAGUAUUGUUGAUUUACGUGUAUGUGUGUGUUUCUGUGUGGGUUUGUGCACACGAGUGCAGAUGCAGAAGAGGGCGUCAAAUACUCUGGAGCUGGAUUAUAGGCAGUUGUGAGCCACCCCACAUGGGUCCUGUGAAUCAAAUUUGGGUCCUCUGGAAGAGUAGCACACACUCUUAAUCACUGAGCUACCUGUUUAAACCCUGUCACCUGCAUUUUGUAGAUGAAAAGGUAUGCCGUUAAGAGGGCAAGUACCUUUCCAGGAGGACAAGACCUUAGAUGAUACAAUAUGAGUGAAUUCAAACUCAGGGGGCCUGUUCCCAGAGCCCACGUCCUCACCAGGGACCCUGGUGACGCAGUAAAAUCACGGUUGCUUUUUGGACAGCCUCUGUAGAUCAGGCUUAGACCAAGCCCUUUGUACACAUCCUCUCAUAUCAUCCAGAAGCAACAACAUGAAACCUAGGGGUCAGACCCAUCUGAACCCACAGGGGUGGGAUUUUAGCCAACCCUGCCUGCCUGCCUCAGCAUAGCCGAGGAAAGGCCAAAGAUUCAGAUACAAGCAGGUGAUUCACCUAACCAACAGGGAUAUUUAGAAAGUGAAAGGAGUUACUGUUAGUAAUUAGGGGCUCAUGUUUAGAGCCACUGGCAGGGAAGCCAGACACACAGACACAUAGGCAGAAGAGCAGCAAGAACAAGAUCCAGUCUGUGGACGGCUCAUGGUUUCCCGGAUGCAGCUGCUGUGCCAAGGGUUUCUCUCAGCUCUUAGGCCCCAGUCAAGGCUGAGGCCAGCCUACAAAAACCCAGGUCUAGAGCUCAGAACUGUGGGCGGAGCCCACUUGGGUGGAAGAAUUCUUCUGAGGUCAGAGGCUAGACGGUCCUCCUGGAUAGAGUCCAGGGAUGCAAAGUCCUUGAACCCCACUGUUCAGAAUAUCCAGCGAGAAGUUGGGAGCUGUGGUGAAAGGCCAACUGGGUGAGCAGCUUGAGACCUCCUAGGCUCUGGGCCUGCUGGACAAGGCUCUGCACAGGCCUUGUCAGCCCCUGCCUAGCUGUAGAGGUUUCAGGACAGCCUUUCUGCGCUCUGAGCCUCCCGGACAAAACACACCUGCUGACAGCUGCUCCCAUUUGCUUCCACAGAAGCCUCCUAGAUAAAAUAGCCCUGCUGUCAGCUGCCCCGACCCAUUCCACAGGAUUCUGGAUUAUCAACAGCAGCAGACAAGGGUAAAUGUAGAACACACACUCUUACUUAGAGCAGCUAUGGUAGACAGAUGAAUCCAGUCCGAGGUGGGCAGUGCAUUUUCACUUUAUACAUGAAGAAAGUUUGGUGGGAGUGGCUUUGGGGAUCUGGGGAAUCAGGCAAGCCUCCCAGAUUACCAAAGCUAGUCAGUGGGGAAGCCAGGCCUGGCCUCUCCACUCACUGUCCUUUAGAAUCUUGCUGAACAAUUCAGUCCCUACUCCGCCUCCUCGGAGGUGGACCCUGGGCACAGCCACAUCUCACACACUUUUUCUACCUGAUUUUAAGACUCAGCAAUGAGCUUUGCAAGCACAUGGCCCCAGGCCUCGUUUCCCAAAAGGUCCACUAGUUGGAAUAGAAGUUAUAAUACCCAUGUUAUCAGUAGCACCCAUCCGUCGAAGAGGGUGUCUCCCGCUGCUGCUGUGUCCUGCCUCUCUCUGGAGCUCUGUGGGCUCCCUGUGGACAGCCUAGGCACAAAGCCUUCUUCAGUUUGGCUCUUUUCAGACCUCACCAAAUAACCUUAUAGUGGGUGGCUCUGCAGUGGGCAGCAACCCUGAGGCUUAGGGAGUUAGGUUCAGGUUCUAGGGUAGCAGGUUCUAGGGGUGAUAUGUAGGGGGAAGACGGACUCUGACUGCAGUGGAUGUAUGGAAAACUCCGCCCCACAAGAUUGAUUCAUAGUUUCUUUUUAAAAGUCAACCUGCUGUUUAAAAACAUGCCUUUAUUUUGAGAAGGUAAAUCAAUUUUACAAACAAACAAACAAAAAAGUCUGUGUUCCUCACCAUAAACAAGCGCCGGGAUCCAAGGCUUAUGUAGACUGCACAGCGAGACUCCUCCUCGAAACUGAAGAAGACGGUGACACUGGCUUGGAGCAGCUACUCCAGAGAGACAUGCUGAACUCCAACAGAGGCCUGUCUGCUGCUACUCCCUGCCCCCACCCUAGAUGACUAUGUCUCUUGGAUACAAAAUGUCUUCCAUAGGCUCCUAUAAAGGAGCAGGGAGGAGGCUGGGUUACCUACCAAUUUUGGUGAAGUGACUGAAUCCUAAAGGUUCUGAUAAGCAGUGGAUUCAUCUCUUAACAGACACAAGACUGAGAGUGGGCCUGGUUGGAGGAAGAAAGCUGAAGGCCUGUCCUUGAAGGGUGAUUGCUCUUCCUGAUCCCCUCCCCCCUGCUCCCACUCCUCCCCUCUGCUUCCCUGUUGGCUACUAUGAGGUGAGCUCCUUUGAACUGCAGGUUCCCUGCUACAAUGUUCUGCUUCCCCACAAGCUGAGACCUAAAGACAAUGGGUGCAUCCUGAAAGAACAAUUCAUUUCUCCCUUUAAGUCCUUUCUCAGGCAGCCCUUUUUGUCACUGAAACGAACUGAAGAUAAGACUAACGCAGGCUGACACCAGUUGUGUGGGACCUCCUGGUCAGUGGCUAAAGUGGUUGUCUAUUAGAAGAGGUCUGGAUGUAACAGUUCUAGGAAGACACACUUUUGGCAUCUAGGGGACUCCAAUGGAAAAAUCAGCUGGAAGGGCAUUUCGUGACCAUAGAGAGUGACUCCUGUUCUCAGUCCCCAGGGCAAUGCAAAAGCAGCCAUCACUCUCCCCAAGCUGUGGAAUAUACAGGGAUAGAGAAAACCCCGAGGGAACGCUCAUGUCACUCCCAAGGGGCUGGCUUCCGAAAGGGCAGAACCUCAGGUCUAAAGGACCAAAACAGAUCACCAUAUAGCCUUAAGGGGAGAGGGGGGAUGAGGACGGGGAACAGCUUGACCCACUACCACAGCACUGGAGGAAACCACUGGUGGACAGAGGCAGGAAGGCAGCAAGGAAUUCCCUCAGUGAUGAUAAAGUUAUUUCCUGCCCAUUCCUUAUCUCCUGGCUGUCUCCAACAGACCCAGGCAAGCACCAUGCAUUCCCCUCACAAACCCAGGAAGCAAAGUAUAGCUGGUUUCUGCAUUCCAAGGCAUGUUAAUUUUCCCAAACUACCAUCAGUGUGGCUGAACAUCUGGGGGGAAAGCAGGGAGGGUCUGUAGGGCCUGCCUCUUUGGGUCAGGGAUCCUAAUGAGCAUUCUGGCUCCUCCCUGGGGAAUCUCCUCUACUCCCCUAACUCUCUCUGAGGGAUGCCCAUGCCCUCUGUGUACCCAGGGGGCAGGUGCCAUCCCUGCCCCAUGCUGCUUGUUCAUCAAAAAGCCCUUGAGUCUUCCUUGCCAUCUAAUUAUGCACAGCGGCCAUAAAGACGCUUUCUCCCUUACCAAAGAGGCCUAUUUAUAUGAUGAGAGAGCACUUCGCCCCCACAAGAUUGAGUCGUCACUCAAAGCCUUGUUGGAAUCAAAGCCUCAUCUCUUCAGAAAUGCCCGGACUCCCUCCCCCCGCCUCUCCCUCUCCAGCUUGGCCCACUUCUGAGCAUCUGUGUUCGCCGAAGUGCCACCGUGGAGUGGGCAGGAUGUGGAUGCUGUUCCCCACUGCUGUGGUCCUUCACAUUUUGCUGACAGAGUCACUCAGUGCACAAUAUUUGCUGAGGGCCUACUAUGUGUCAUACUGAAAACCUACUGUGUGUGCUUACUGAGAAUGAUGGAAUGAAAGAUAAGGCCCCUGCCCUUCUUGAGAGAACGGCAGUAAGAGAAGAAAGGUCACACUCCAUGACUGACUCCGAGCCAACUCCAGAGUCCACUGUCUGGGCAAGUUACCAACAUCUCAGAGUCCUCAAUUGCCUCACUGGAGAAAUGAGGUAACAAUAAAGUCAACCCCGGAGGGUUGUUGGGGAACAAUAGGAUCCAGGCAUGUAAACCUGACACGCUGUCUGCACUCAUGAUGCACUACCUGAAAACAUCAACAAGGGUGGAUUUCACCAACAUGCAUGACUCUGAAGUUUCCGGAGAGGAAGAAGACUGGAAUCCUGACCAGCCCAUCCAUCCCCUGUGCGGGCGAAGCCUUGAUUUACAACUCUGGCUGGGAAAGCAUCUCAUCCUCUUCCCGGAUCCCCGGGCGCUCCCUCCCUCACCAUCUGAGCGGCAACCGUGCUCCAGAAGAGCCGCUCUACCAUAAAUGCUGCCUACAGGACUACAAAGAAGCUCCUGACCCAAGGAGGUACUUGUCGCAGACUGUUGCCCUUCCAUAUAUGGGAUGCGUCCAUGCGUCCCUGGCCCAUUAAAAUAGGGCAUUAAUAAUUCAAAA
rnacentral:sRNA from 1 species